UCAUCUUUAGUUCUUUACUAAGGAGUAUACCCCUAAAAAAGACUUAUAAAUAUAGUUAAUUUGUCCAAAAGAAGGUCACGCCAUAGGAGAUUUACAACAUAAAGAAUGGCCAAAUUUAUUUACAAAAUUCAUACAACAAAUUUAUUUAAGUACCACAUAAAAAUACAAUAUUAUAUCCUCCAAACAUUUACGUUGUCGUUAGUUUGGUGGGUCUUCUUUUGAUUUUGUUUCCUUGGAAUUGAGUUUUUCAUCCCUAUAAAAUAAAACAAUGCACCAAAGAGUGCAAGACAAAUAUAUCAGAAGAUAUGGGACUGCCAAAAAUAAAUAGCAAGACCCCAAGACCUUUGAGCAUAUGUAUGACAUUUGAGCAGAGGAUCAUUAACUGAGAUGCAAAUCAAUCACAAAUCAAUACUAAUAUAUAAAGGAAGUAAGAAUGAUCCAAAACUCACCUCUCAAUUGCAAAAUUCAAUGAGUCAACUCUUAAUUAAUUAAGAGUUAACUUGCUCAAUUGGAAAACUCACGUGUGUGCAGCUAACAAAAGGAAUUAAUAACAAUGGAGCCAUAUUCCUUGACAAUCUACAUUUAGUAACAGUAUCAAUCAAAAUUAAAUAGUCUAGUGAAUCCAUUUCUCAAUUCAUUCAUUCAUAAUGAUCAAAUAAAUGAAUAGACUUGCCUUUUUGUAUACAUUUGGCAUUGUCUACAAUGCACCUUACUCUGCUCUCUGCCAACUGAGCUUUACCGUUAAGGAAAAGGCAAAAAACCCAGUUUUUAUGAUAUAUGAUAGUUUUGGCUUUUUGGCAUCAAAGAGACAAAAAGAAAAAAAUAAUAAUAAUACUUUCAAGCCCAUGUGAAAGGUCUAUAUAUAAUUAUAUAUACAUGUAUUAUUUUUAAUAAUUUUUUGAGUUGAUGUAACUAUAUAUUUCUAAAGACAACCCAACUGCACAGAAAAUCAAGAAUUUCAUUCAUACUGCAAGAUCAUAAUCAUGAGUACUCAUAUAUAUAAUAUAUACUUGUACAGACAGACAGACAGACAGUCCUAAAUGGUUUAUGAGAGAGAAGAUGCAGAAGAAAUUAACCCUUUUAUGGAUUUAAAAUUACAGAUUAACUUCUGGUAUUCUCAGAGUUCGGUUCAAGCCCAGAGCCCGGAAAUCUGAAACAAACAGAUAAGAAAUUUGUGAAGAGAAAAAAAAUGGACAAAGAAGACAGUAUUCAAGAAAUCUCUGCUACUUCAAGAAGUUAAUAACAGGAGUUGAUGAAAUGGAGAGAGACAGAAAGUGGGUCAAAUCGUACCUUGAAAAAUUCGAUGAACCUUCUUUCUCUCGCUUGCGCAGUUGAAUGAUAGGAUGGGGGAGGUUUCAAAAGCAAAUGCAAAUUUUAAUCAAAUUGAAUAGAGUUCCCACGCAUGAAAUUAACUUUGGAACCGGAUCCAGUUCUGAGAGGCAGAGCAACUCUUGGGGAGUUACAAAAAAGAGGGAUGGUUGGGUUUUAGAUAUUUCAAAGCAGAAGAGAAGAGGAGUGGAAAGAGAAGGUGAAUUAUGGAACAGAUCUUGGGUUUGUAAACGGCUAAUAAGAUAAAGCGAUGAAGAGACCAAAUUAAAUGGAGAAGGGGAACGGNNNNN
rnacentral:lncRNA from 1 species